CCGCACGCUCAUCCUCCUCCGCCCACCCCCUGUAUCGCCGCCGCCGCUCCCCGUCCCCUCUCACACGAGCCGCCGUUGCCGCUUCGCGUUCCCCUCGCGGUGCCCUUGCCUCCCUCUCUCGCGCGCCAGACGCGAUUCCCUCGCCCAAAACAGAUCGCGGCCGGUUCCUCCCUCCCCACGCGAGUUCUUGCCCCUCCGCCCCGGCGCCGACGCAUCCUGGCACCCGUUCCUACACCGGCGGCAUGAGUCACCAAGUAAAAGGCGCCAGCGGCUGAGGCUCGUGCACCUGGCGGCCUUCUCUUUCUUCUGCUUCAGCUCCUCCCAACUGGCAGCGUCCGACGCCGGGAACUCACGCUCGCCGACUCCGCCCGCGACUUUGGUCGCGCAGACUUCUCCAGAUUCGUGCGGCGAGCGUGGUUGAGGUGGCGGCGCCGCCUAGGAACAACGCAUGCUCCAGGAGGCGUUGUCGGCCCCACGCACCCUCGUCGAUAGCGGAAUAGGGGCCAAGCGGGUGGCGUUGGCGGCGGGGAUGGCGGAGCUGGUCUAUGUCGUGCUCUUGGGUGGCCCUCCUCGGCAUCGAGUGACACAGCCGGGGCGGCACUGAGGCAGCAACGGAUGCUGGGUGAAGAGGACGAGGCCAACAAGGGGGAAGAGAGGUGGCCGGAGAGGGCGCUAGCGACCUAAGGGGAGGCCGCAGCGGUGAUGGCGAGAAUGGAGGGGUUUGCGGUAUGCAGAGACACUCGGCAUGUGGCCGCUCGGGGAGAUUGCCUUAGGGAUCAACCACUACAUGCGCAACUAGGUUUCAGCCCAAGGUACCCACAGAAGGCUAAGACUUACUGAGUUCUUUACAUGCCUUCAACAUAAACGUUUAAUGUUGGAUACACAUAUUCAGUUAUACUUGCACAACAUCAUAAUUCCAUCAGUGAGCCAUCUUCCAAUUGUGAAAUCUGGGACUCUGGAGCGAAUAGCGAUGACGAGAAAUGAUGGGGCCCAGAGGGUUACUCAAAGGCCAAUUUGAUGGUGGUAAGCUCUACCUGUAUAUUUAAUUAGGUUCAGGCUUUUCCCACCAAAGGGUUCAGAACAGAGAAAUAAUAUUGUAACUUCAAAAUAUUCUACUGAUGUUUGAUGAAAAGAACAUUGCUCAGUAACAUACAAUAUGUCUGUUUUCCUUGUAAUCAAUUCGAAGAACAUUUCAGAAAGUUGAACUCUAAGCUUCUAUAGAUGCUAGGCAUGCUAGACUGAUUUGGCUCGUGGAUAUGUGAUGCAUUUUACAGCAAUGCUACCAUGGUAGGAGUGAAAGAGGAUUACAUAAGGUACACUGAAACAGUUUCUCUCUUAAGUUGGAAAUGUGGGAGUAAAUGAAUGUGGUUUUCAUGCCUGAUCAAUCUUCGGCCUUGCUGAUGCCUGAUGUAUGCCAUCAAUCAUGCACUUCAUUGGUUUUGAAGCGAAGCUUUUAUCCUUUUUUGUCCUUCUCAGUUCAUUUUCCAGUAUAUAAUAAUAGUUCUUUUCUUUUCCGCGUGUUACCAGAAAUUAAUGAUAUGGAUGAUUUCCCAGUAUCUUAGUUAUAUAUGUACACUUGAAGGUGAUGCUUAUGGUACAAAUUUUCCGUUGCUGUA